rnacentral:rRNA from 1 species
AAUAGAUACCCAGGUAGUCCACGCCGUAAACGAUGGAUGCUAGCUGUUAUGCGUAUCGACCCGUGUAGUAGCGAAGCUAACGCGUUAAGCAUCCCGCCUGGGGAGUACGAACGCAAGUUUAAAACUCAAAGGAAUUGACGGGGACCCGCACAAGCGGUGGAGCGUGUUCUUUAAUUCGAGGCUAAGCGAAGAACCUUACCAGGGCUUGACAUCCUUGGAAUUUCUCCGAAAGGAGAGAGUACUUUAUUGGACCAAGUGACAGGUGCUGCAUGGCCGUCGUCAGCUCGUGUCGUGAGAUGUUUGGUUAAGUCCAUUAACGAGCGCAACCCUUAUGAAUAGUUGUAUUUUUCUAUUCAGACUGCCCCGGUAACGGGGAGGAAGGGGGGGAUGAUGUCAGGUCAGUAUUGCCCUUACGCCCUGGGCUAGAAACGCGCUACAAUGGCCGGUACAAUGCGCUGCCAACCCGCGAGGGGGAGCAAAUCGCAUCAAAAGCCGGUCCCAGUUCGGAUAAGAGGCUGAAACUCGCCUCUUUGAAGCCGGAAUCGCUAGUAAUCGU